UUUUCUAGUUUUAUUUCAUAGAUGUACAAUUCACAAUGCCAUGGCCUUCAAACAUUUUAUUGCAAUUACCACAUAUGCACACAUAAUAAACACACAUGAGCAGAUAUGGUAUAUACAUAAAAAGUCUUAUAAAACAUUAUUUACCUUUUCUAUAUUAGGUGCAGUCUGAUAUUUUCUAUUUCUAUUAUAUUCCAUCUAACUUUCAUUUUUAAAAGCUGUGUGUAUUUCACAUUAGUUUGAAAACUGGUACUUAAGCGCAUAUUAUAUCUCACAUCCAUAUCUUUUUUGCAUACGACCCCGGUGAAGACAACCUGUUAAUGCUGAUGGUAUCGGGCCAAGCAAAAUUCAAAUAUUUCUUUUGUUGGUGUCCAGAACACGUACUAAAAAUUUUUGUUCUGAAGUCGAGAAGUUCUAAUUGUGCUGUACUGUAUGUAUACCAUUAAAUUGUGGCACAGAAUUGGUUCAAAAAAAAAAAAAAAAAAAGCCACAAGACCUUCCAGAUCCUUCUAAUGAACUGUAACAAGAAGAAUGACUGAAGGGAAUUGUUAAGGACAAGCUUAUGGGUAGGAUGGGAAUAGGUUCUACUCUGUUACAGUUUAGAGUAUGAGCUUAUUAAAUCCACCUGAAAUUUUUUAACUACCACCCCUGUCUUUUUUAAAAAAGGGAAAUUACCAAAAAAAAGUUAAAAUUAGGCAAUUAAAACCUGGGAUACCUACAUUUGUUUUCUCAGUAACCUUAACCUUUACACUAUCUAGUGGUUAAAGAUUUGGUGUUGUGGCGUAGGAUUAAGGAUUUUGUGUUGUCACUGGUGGCCUAGUGGUUAAAGAUUUGGUGUUGUCACUGCAGUGGCUCAGGUUGGAUCACUGCCUGGGAACUUCUGGAUGCUGUGGGCGUGGACAAAAAAAUAAAUACAGUGAGAUUUGCUUGGAUAGAUUUAAAGUAUAUUCUAUAUCGGUAUAUUGAAUUUUCAAAUAUAAUCUUUUUUUUUGUAUAAUGAUUUUCGUUUUUUUGCUUUGGGUUAAUAGAUGCUAACUACUGCCUUUGGAAUGGAUUAGCAAUGAGAUCCUGCUGUGUAGCACUGGGAACCAUAAUCUGCUUUUUAAAAAGCUUGAUGCAUCAUAGUAUAUACAAAAUUAUAAGACAAUUUAAUUGAGAGGUAUUUAUCCCUACCCUAUAUAAAGUCCUUUAUAAAAUGUGUUGAGAAAAGAUUUGCUUUGAGCAUUUUUGAGGAUAAUGAUAAUGCACAAUUAUGUUCUUUUUCUGUGCUAAGUAUCAUGCUUGUUAUUUUACACAUCUUUUUAUCUAUAUUUGCAACAAUUGUAUGUAAUGGAUAAUAGCAGAUAGUAAAUCCAUAGUGCAAACUCUCUAAAACCUGAGUCCUUAACUUUAAAGUAUACAUACUUUUCAGAAACCCAAAUACUAUCAGAGCAAAUAACUCCUGGAUAUUACUGUUACAGACUUUUUCCUGAGUUGUAGACCCAAAGCAGACAGAUACACAGGCAUCUCUAAUAUUUCAAACUAAACACCUUAUUUUCUCACACUUGCUUACCCCUAACCUCCCUGAAGACCUUCAGUCUAGAUGAUCUCUUAGCAAUCUCCCUUUUCCUCUUUUCAAUAAAUAGUUAUCUAAGCUAGCACUCUGUGAGAGCCCUUUGACCUCUCCAUCGUUGUCUCUGCUCCACUCACAACCAUCCAAUGAAUUGUAUUGACUUCCUUGGUAAAUCUCGAAUCCUUCCACUUUCCUCAAGACUAGCUGUCAUUAUCUAGUCAGACAAGUUUAUUCUUCUCAUCAGUAAAUUUUUGGGUAUUGUCAUGUUAUUUCUGACUCCUCUUUUCUGCUCUUCCUUAUCCUGUUCACAGCAGCUAGAAUGAUCUUUAUAUCGUUAAUAUUUUAUCUCUGAUUAAUUCUUUCUUGCUUAAAAAUCCUUCAAUGGCUCCUCAUUUUCAGCAUAAAGCCUGUGAUCCUUAGCCUGAUAUGCAGAGCCAUUCAUCUGUAAUCUGAUUUCUCUCCACUUCCUCAAUUCCCUUUAUAUUUUUUGUAAAUUUCUAUUAAUUUCUUGAGCAUCUACUAACUCAACCUAAAUAUGCUUGCUUCCAACCCUCUACUUUAGGAGCUAUUUCUAUGUUUUCUCUUAAGGCCCUGGAAAAAAUAUAUUAUUUAUUUAUAUAUAUAAAUUCUCAUAUGCAUUAUCCUCAUCCACCUUCCUACCUGCAUUAAACCAGGAGCUCCUUUGGUGAAGAUUCUUUGUUUUACUUAUCUUUAUAACUCCAGGACUCAGCAUAAUAAAAAAGGCAAAUCAAUAUAUUGUUGUAAGGCACUUUAAUGUAGAAUAUUUUUGUGAGCAACCUUCCUUCAAUACACUAAAAAUUAAUGAAUGCUUGUAAAUUGACUUACAAAAUGUACCUGAUUUACUUAUAGGCCUUUUGACUCUAGGAAAAUCACUUAUUUUCAAAAGUGAAUCUCCUAUUCUAGGAAAGGAGAGAUGAUUUAAAAUUAGAUUAACUACCAUUGUUUACCUUGUUCUGAGAAAUAGGUGAGAACAGAAUAAAGGCUAGGGAAAAAGAAAUACAUUGGGCAUUCACUUCAAUAUCAAGAAAGAAUGGACUCUUUAUGGAAUGAGUCUGGCAAGACCUUCCCAUCUAGGGAAGUAUGAAGUAGUAGAAAGGGGUCAAAAACAGGAGUUCAUAAGCAUAAAUUAAAAUUUCUGGGCCUCAGGUGAAGCUGGGUGUAACUCUCAUCAGUAACAUAGGAAUGAAAAAGCUGCUCAUCUAGCUUUCCAAGCCUGUGAUGAAGCUUGGAUGAGAAAAACUGUAUCAGACCAUUUUGAAAAGUACAGAAUGCUCUCAAAUAUAAGAUUUGAGACCAUUAAGUUAAAAUACUUUGCAGAGCUUUCCUGAAUACUCAUCAGGAGCACAGGCUCACAGGCUUAGAAUUUCUCAUUAUGUGUUGCCUGCAUCUCUCCCUACUGCAGUGCUGGCUUUCCAAGCUUAGGGCCAUGCCUUACAACUUCAUACCUCCAGUGCUGGGUAUAAUAUCUAGGAUCAAGCAAUUACUCCAUACAUAUUUGAUGACUGAUUUAUCAACAGGUUGUUGGUAUAAGGUGUUCUUUACGGUGGGGUGAUUGAAGAACAUUCAUAAGUUAUUAUUAUAGAUAAACUAGGGCAUACUUUUAGUAUUGGCAUGUUUUUGGUGUUUGGGAUUACUAUAGAUGUUUUUACCAUUUUAAUAAGUCAGCAACAUUUCAGAUAACUGUAAGAUGAGGAAGAAAAAGAGUUGGGGGUUAAUAACAUUUGUGAAAGAACCAUAAAGUUACUUCAAAGAAUUCUCUAUCUUUUUCUACCUUCAGAACCUGUUGUUUUUUUUUUAAUUUUAAUUUGACCUUCACUUCAUUUCUCCUAAAAAUGAUGUUUGAGUGUUCUUUCUUUAAAUUAAACUUAUUUGUUUGGGGGAGAUUUUUCUAUUUAUGGAAAAGUUGCAAAGAUAAUACAGAGGGCUUUCAAGUAUCUUUUACUCUAUAGUAUGCUUCUCUAAUUUUAACAUGUGAUACAACCCAUUUUUUUUUUAAAUUUAAAAUGAAGUAGAAUGUAGUUUAGCAACUCUUUUUGGGAAAUGUCUGAAGAAUUAUGUGAUACCCAUUGGAAGUUAUAGAAGAGAACAUUUUAGUUGCAGUGCUGGAAUCAGGAAUCACUGGGUCAAUCAUAGAUAAUAACAGUCAUGUAGAACCAUCUGAACUUAUAACUUUGGCUAGGUAGAAAAAUAAGUCUGGAGGUGACCUCUGUAGAUAUGUUACUUGAAAUAUUCUUACAAAAAUGGACACAAAAGACAUUACUCUCUGGAAAAACAAACCCUGGAAAAAAGAAUCUGAACAAUUGUCUUCAUUGUAUAUCAGAAAAGUGUUGAAGUAAUUCUAUACACAUAAAAUUAACUAAAGAAGAUCAUGAUCAAAAUGUUGAAAUAUGCAGGCAUGUUAUAGGAAACUAUACAAGUUCACAUAGUGGGAAGUUGUAAGAGUAUUUACUUUAUUUCAGCUGAGUGUAUGUAGAUUCUUACUUACACCAAAGUUAAUUUCCUUAAAAUAUAAUUGUUUGGGUUUACUUGUAAACAACUAUUAUUUGAGGUUCUUUGUGAUGAGCGAAGUGAAAACAAAUUAAGCACGAAUUAGUACCUAUCAAUAGUCUUUCAUAGUAUAUAAAGAUGGUAAAAUAUGUUUCAUAUGGAAUAAAUACAUAAGCUUUUGUUGUUUUUUUAACCCUCUAAUAUACUCCAUAUUUUUUUUCCUUUACUACAUUCUUGCUGUAUUAAACAAGAUAUAUAUUACCUAUGGACUUAAUAGUCAAAUAUUUUAGGUUAGGUUGCUUUUGGAGUCAAGCUGUAAUUUAAUGAAGAAGACUUGGUGAACAUAUUCAAAUUUCAUGACACUUUAAUCUUCCUUCUGAUAUGCUUAAAAUAUGUAAAGAUCUCAGGUAAUUGACUCAAUGAACUAAGGUUUUCAAGUGGAUGUAAUUAUGUCACAGGCCUGAGAGCAGCAUCACUGGAGUUUUGUGCCAGCAUACCCAUCUCCUACUCAAGGGAGAGCGGCUGCUUGCCCCGGACUCACUGUAUGAUCUUGAGCGAGUCACCUCACAUUCUUGAACCUCAGUCAACCCAUUUGGAGAAUUAGGUGAAAGCUAAGCCUUAGUGAAAAACAGAUGCUACAUCUGAGAUGAGUUUUCUUGUGUAAACAAGUAAUUCCAAAGUUUAAUUCCAAAGAAAGUCGCUGUGUGGAGGAUGGUGAUACAUCUGAAGUAGACAAUCAGGCUAAGACUUGUGGAAUAAAUAUGUUUUUGAAUAGAAAUUAUAGCAUUGUAAUAUUACAUCUGGGUUUCUUAAAAUUAUUUUAUCUAGUUUUUAGAUAUAUACUGUUGUGAUUUUAAUAAAACUUAAUGUUUUGGAGUUUUUGUAUAUAGUAAGUUAUACUUCUAACAAGUCAAUUAAGUUGUCAAGAUAAGGGGAAAUAAAACUCAAAAUAGUCCAGUUAUUACCUAGUGAAAGUCAAUGAAAGUUAAGACCUCUUCUCUUUGGGAUAAAAGUUAACAAUCAAGGGAUUUAAAGACAUGUGGUUUUUAAAGACAACAGUUAAGUCUGUAUUUUGGUUUAGUUCCCAGUAGAUCAUUUGUCACUUUGGUAAAUUCUUAUGCUCUACAACACUUUG
rnacentral:lncRNA from 1 species